rnacentral:lncRNA from 1 species
UAUAUAUAGUUUUACUCCAAUAGAAACCUCCUUAUCCUAGAAACUAAAAACCAAGCUGAAAUAUCACUAAAUCCUAAAGCAAAUACCACUAAAUUCUUAAACAACCCCAUCUCCACCUUCAUCUUCACCAAACCCACUUCCAUCUUCACCAACCCCACCUCCACUACCACCACCUCCGUCGUCGCCUCCUUCAUAACCACUACUACCUCUAUGCCGCCCGCCCCCUCCAUAACCACCACCUCCAUCUCCACCUCCACCUCCACCUCUAUUAUUUCCCUAACAACACAACCUCCACACCUCCAUCUUCACCAACCCCAUCUUAAUAGAUGCUUCAACCUCCUUCAACUUCGUUCAUACUUCUUUCUCCACCCCGACUCAACUUCAAACGCGAAGCCGCCACUAUUCCGGCAACACUCCAACCCCCCACUUCAAGCCGCCCAAACCUCCGCUAGAAUCAUCCUUCCUCCAUCUCCACCUUCACCUCCACCAUCUCCACCACUAUCACCACCAUCUGAAUCGAAAACAUGAACAGAUCUGGAGAUUCUAAGCUGGAACAUAUCUGGAGAUUAAGUUUUCACUAAUUCCUGCAACACAGAUCACUAAAUCCCAAGGAGAAUAUCACUAAAUUGUACUGAGAAUAUCACUAACUUGUAUUGGUUUCUAGUUUUUAUUUUAAUAUUGGUUUCUAUUUGAUCAUGAGCCUAUAUAUAUAUAGGGUGCUAAUCUUGUACAAACUGUUUUAUUGUACAAACUACAAACUAGGCCCAACCCGACAACUUAGCUCUCGGCCCAGUUAGCGUUCGGCCCACUUUCUGAUUACAACACGACUACGACUAGUCUGAAAAAACAAAAAAGAAAUUUAAAUACAGACAGAAGAAACCAUAGACAGGCAUAUAGACACAAAACAGUUACACUCAUCGCUCCUCUUACUGUUCAUCUCUCUCAAACACAAGGUAUAAUCACUGCUAAACUUGCUUCUAAUUUUCGAUUUCUCACCGUUUUUGCAAUUAUUACAUGUUUAACUCGUUCGUUUUGAACAUAUUUUGCAAAAACAGGGGAAAUCGCAGUGGAGAUCAGCCUCGUACUCAAUCGGAACGAUAUCAGCUUCAAAUUCUUCAAAUAGGUACAAUACUAUAUUCCGAGUCUCGUAUUGUAGUUAUAACUUUGUUACUUUGUGAUUGCAUGUUAGUGCGAGUCAGUUUUUUAGGGUUUUAGUAAUCGAUCUUAUGAAAAACUAACAUAUAAUGUUUAUGUGUUCUCAUAGCAGCAACUAGUUGUCUAUAUAACUCUGAAAGCAAAAAAUUAUGGCUAGGACUAGAGGAGGUAUGUUAUUUAGGGUUUUGUAAUUUUUUGUUUUUAUUUUGCUUAAUUUGUGCUGUUAUUACUGCUCUUAUUUAUGUAGAAAUUGUUUCCUCUUUGAUUUGCAUUAUAUAUGAUUUAUGAUUUGAUUUCGUGUUGAAUACUGAUUAGAGUUUAUAAUGUUUAUGAUUUAUGAUUACUGAUUAGAGUUUACGAUUAGAAAUGUUUAUGGUAUUUUGGACCAUAUAGAAUAUUGGAGUCUGGUUGAUACAUUAGAUUUGUGUACGUAUGUAUAAUUGUGUAGUUAGCUGCAUAUAUUGUACUCUAGUUAGCUGCAUACUCUGUAGUUAGCUAAAUAUAGUCAUAAAUAAAAAACAUGAUACAGGUGCAGCUAGAUAUAGUACUCUUUAUGUAUAAUUUGUGAUUGAUGUAUAAAAUAUUAAUGGUUGAUGCUUUAUAAAUUAGAGAUUAAUGCCUAAUAUAAUUGUGUUUGCAGAUGUAUGCUAAUAUAAAAUAUUAAUAUAAUUGUGUUUGCAGAUGCCUAAUAUAAAAUAUUAAUGGUUGAUGCUUUAUAAAUUAGAGAUUAAUGCCUAAUAUAACAUUAGACCUGUGUACAUGUGUAUAAUUGUGUUUGCAGAUGUAUGCUAAGAAAUAAAUGGUGGGGGAUUUGUUGUUCUGUGUUGUGCAUAAAAUCCUUCGUCUCUCUUGUGUGUAAAGUAUAUAUGAUUAGUGACUCUCUCAUGUCCACAUUGCAUAUAAUACUAUUGUUUAUCUUCUGGAAUUACAUAUUAUGGUACAUCUCUGUUCAUAUCUAGAUAGCAUUAAGUUGCAUCUAGCCACGUAUCCCUCUGGCCACGUAUCCAUAACGGGGUGGGACUGAUUUGUACCUUGUAGCGUGGCGAGGCAUGAGAGACAAAAGGGGUGUGUGUUGCCCCCUGCUGAAGUUGACUCUUAUCAUUAUACACAUAAGAUUGUUCUAAUUAUUACUACUAGGCAUUAUCCACACCUUAAUCUUCUGUCUUUCAAUGUAUGUUCACCAUCAUAAUCAGAUUUCAUCAAUUACUUAAUCAUGAUAUUAUUUGGUAGUUUUUUAUUUAUAAAUUACUAAUUAUAUGAUUAAUGCCUUAUAAAUUAGUGAUUACUAAUAUAUGCAUCGAUAUUUUUUAGAAACUAUCCACUCUUGCUUCAAGUUUUAUUAGUGAUUAACAUAUUUGAUGUUGGUAUUAUAUUCGUUUAUGGCUUUCUAGAAAAAAUAAUAUUACUAGUUCAAUAGCUAUGUACAUAUAUUCUUUACUUAACGCCUCUGCAAGAAAAAAAAUUCAGGACAUAGAGUGCAACUGCGAAGAAGUUCAAGACUACAACGUUGUAAGACAACCUUCAGCAAUACAAUAAACGAUCCAAUUAACCUUGAAGAAUCUCCAGUUGAUAGGACUAUGGAACAUGACGAGCACACCAGUACUCCGAACAAAUCUGAAGGAAGUGCACCAGAAAAAUUUAAGCGAUUACGGCACAAAGUGACAGCUGGAAAACUAUUUCACUCUGAUGUGUAUAUCUCUACUCUGUAAUUUGUCUUUUCUGAUUAUUAUAAAUACACUUCUUGCUUCCAUAUUAUAAACUUCUUGAUUAUUAUAAAGUGACAUGAGAGAUUGUCUACCUCUUGUUUUCAUAUUCACUAAAUUAAAAACAUUGGCUGAUUUUAAGUUGUCAAUUUUGUGACAGGAGGAUGAGCAAGAGUCAUAUUCAAUUCUAGAAUUAUAUAGGACUGAAUAUGAAGCUGGACAACUUGAAAAGCAAGCUGCACAACUUGAAAAUCAAGCUGACAAACUCAACCACAAGAUCAAGCAGCACAAACUCAACCACAUGAUCAAGCUCCACAAGAUCAAGAUACAGAACCACAAGAUCAAGCUGCACAAGAUCAAGAUACAGAACCACAAGAUCACAAUCAAGCUGAAGAUGAUCGAGAUCACAAUCAAGAUGAACAGGAAUCUCAAGAAGAAGCUCAAAAUGAACAUGAAUCUCAAAAUGAACAAAAAGCUGACAAUGUAAAAGUUAGGAAGUGGAAAAGAAAAAAGACUGAAGGGGUACAUACUUUAUUUCAAUUUAGUAUCUUAUACUUUUAGUAUAUUAGUGAUCUCAAUACUUUUGAUAUUGUACACUUUUAGUAUAUUUAGAUUUUGUAAUCACUAAUAUAUUAGUGAUAUAAAAGUAUGUUAUACUUUUAGUAUAUUAAGAUUUCUUGAUAUAUAUGUGAUCUCAUACUUUUAGUAUCUUAUAUUUUUAGUAUAUUAGUGAUCACUAAUAUACUAAAAAUAUGAUACAUCAACUACACUUUUUCGUAAUCACUAAUAUAUCAUUAACGAUCUACUAAAAAUAUGAUACAUUAACUACUAAUAUAUCAUUAACGAUCUACUAAAAAUAUGAUACGUUAACUACACUUUUUCGUAAUCACUUUUAUGAUAUAGGUGGAUACACACAAUGCUCGUGAUCAUCCUGUAACAAAAAGGCCAAACAUUAAGCUGCC